rnacentral:lncRNA from 1 species
ACAAUCCAUCCUGAUGGAAAUCAGGGCAGGAGCUCAAGGCAGGAACCUGAACCCAGGACCUGAAGCAGAAACCAUGGUGAAAGCUGCUUACUGACUUGAUCCUCAUGGCUUGAUCUUUCUUACACCAUCCAGGACCACAAGACCAGGGGUGGCAUUUCCCAUAUCAGUCGUUCAUCAAGAAAAUCACAGCUCAAUAUGGCAAACCUUUCUGGAAACACCAAGAUAUUGUCCAGAGCUCUGUUUCCAUGGUGACUCUCAUCUAGCCAAGUUGGCCACGAGAAUGCACAACCAAGGAGCACCAACUUCCAGCUGAACUUGGGUAUCUGUCUCUCCUGGCCACUCAGAGCAUCCCUCCCCUCAGGAGACCCACUGCAUCUCCUCAGUCCCUGGUGGCCACUAGUCUGCUUUGCCUCUGCCAGAGGACAGUGGCUCCAGAGUCCACGCACGGGGGAGUUAGUGUACUUUCUUCACUUCCCUUUGGGUUCCUGGCUUACCUUGCUGAACAUGGUGCCUACCUAGCAGGCUUCUCCACAGCCAUGGAUAGGGUCUCCUUCCCUUUGGAAGCUGACAGUAUUAACACUGUGUGUACAUCGUAGGGGUUCUUCGUGACAUGGUCGAUGGCUAUGCAGUUUGAUUUUGGUUGGGAUCAGCAGGAAUUACUCUAGGACAGACAUGGGGUGUGUGCGGAGCUGUUCCAUUUGCUCUGUACCCAGAAUCGGCUUUACGGAGCGUAUGGCAGCUUCAUUUAAAGUAUUUCGAGGGAAUCUGCUUUUUCCAUUAUAUCUGCGCUGAUUUAAUUCCCACUCAACACACGUGGGUCCCCUUUCCUCACAUGCUUGCCAGCGUUUUGGUUUUGUCUUUUCUGUAGCAGGCAUUCUAACUUGGGCGACAUGAUACCGCACUGUCAUUUUGAUACACACCUUGUCCGGUGCUCAGGAUGGAGCCUAAGGGCUGACACAUGCUCCGUGGCAGCUCAAUUACUGAGCCACGCCACCAGCGUGGGCUUACAUUCUGCUGACUGACACUGAACACUUUUC